UUAUUGUUUUCUUUUCAAGAUCUAUGCCACACAAUAUUUUAAUUCUAUGCUCUUUGUCUUCAAUUUAUUUUAUAUGUUCAUAUGGAUCAUGUAAUCAUGUUUAAUUUGAGGGGAUACACAACUCUGCACAUGUUUAGUUUCUGUCUCUUUAUUUCUUUUAUUUUCUUUAGUUUCUUUAUUUUUUAUUACAAACAAAAUUGGUAAGUAGCCCUAAGGUAAGUACCAAAGAGGGCAUUUGCGUGGAGCUUAUAUGGAGCUAAACGGGAGUAAGCCAGGGAUAUCAUUGCCAUACUAGAAGAGAAGACCCUUUUUU
rnacentral:misc_RNA from 1 species